UAAUUUAUCUGAGGCAGAUCGUCAUCUAAAUAUGCUAGACCCAUAGCUGACCGCUUAGAAUUUCUUAUUAUCGCAAUCCCGACUACAUUAAUAAAACAUUUUGAUUAUUUUUUUUGUUAAUU
rfam:Populus trichocarpa isolate Nisqually-1 chromosome 5, whole genome shotgun sequence.